AGACAGAUGGUGCAAGCGUUAAUCGGAAUCACUGGGCGUAAGGCGCGCGUAGGUGGAUCAAGUAGUUGAGGGUGAAAUCCCGGGGCUCAACCUCGGAACUGCCUUCAAUACUGUUGAUCUUGAGACCGAGAGAGGUGAGUGGAAUUCCUAGUGUAGAGGUGAAAUUCGUAGAUAUUAGGAAGAACACCAGUGGCGAAGGCGGCUCACUGGCUCGGUACUGACGCUGAGGUGCGAAAGCGUGGGGAGCAAACAGGAUUAGAUACCCUAGUAGUCC
rnacentral:rRNA from 1 species